rnacentral:rRNA from 1 species
CCUUGAAAUACCACCCUUUAAUGUUUGAUGUUCUAACGUUGGCCCCUGAUCGGGGUUGCGGACAGUGUCUGGUGGGUAGUUUGACUGGGGCGGUCUCCUCCUAAAGAGUAACGGAGGAGCACGAAGGUUGGCUAAUCCUGGUCGGACAUCAGGAGGUUAGUGCAAUGGCAUAAGCCAGCUUGACUGCGAGCGUGACGGCGCGAGCAGGUGCGAAAGCAGGUCAUAGUGAUCCGGUGGUUCUGAAUGGAAGGGCCAUCGCUCAACGGAUAAAAGGUACUCCGGGGAUAACAGGCUGAUACCGCCCAAGAGUUCAUAUCGACGGCGGUGUUUGGCACCUCGAUGUCGGCUCAUCACAUCCUGGGGCUGAAGUAGGUCCCAAGGGUAUGGCUGUUCGCCAUUUAAAGUGGUACGCGAGCUGGGUUUAGAACGUCGUGAGACAGUUCGGUCCCUAUCUGCCGUGGGCGCUGGAGAACUGAGGGGGGCUGCUCCUAGUACGAGAGGACCGGAGUGGACGCAUCACUGGUGUUCGGGUUGUCAUGCCAAUGGCACUGCCCGGUAGCUAAAUGCGGAAGAGAUAAGUGCUGAAAGCAUCUAAGCACGAAACUUGCCCCGAGAUGAGUUCUCCCUGAGACUUU